rnacentral:rRNA from 1 species
GCUUGUCUCAAAGAUUAAGCCAUGCAUGUCUAAGUAUAAACAAAUCUAUACGUGAAACUGCGAAUGGCUCAUUAUAUCAGUUAUAGUUUAUUUGAUGGUUCAUACUACUUGGAUAACCGUAGUAAUUCUAGAGCUAAUACAUGCGUAAAGUCCCGACUUCUUGGAAGGGAUGUAUUUAUUAGAUUAAAAACCAAUGCAGGCAACUGCUCCUUUGGUGACUCAUAGUAACUUUAACGGAUCGCACGGCUUCACGUCGGCGACAGUUCAUUCAAAUUUCUGCCCUAUCAGCUUUCGACGGUACUGUAGUGGACUACCGUGGCAUUAACGGGUGACGGAGAAUUAGGGUUCGAUUCCGGAGAGGGAGCCUGAGAAACGGCUACCACAUCCAAGGAAGGCAGCAGG